UUAUCCCAAUACGUGGACAAUUGGAAGUUGAUAACUUCAGACAAGUGGAUCCUUUCAGUGGUACAGAGAGGUUUUCUACUUCCCUGGGACAAUCUACCUCCUGUGACUUGUUUCCCAACGCCCGUUAUUUUAUGCUCCAAGGCAGCUUUC